AGGUCGAAGCUCCACAUACAUUGUUGUGAAUUCAAGCAGUCCAGAAAGUGUUCCAGAUUCGACUGUUAUUUCUACUUUGAUUACUGGGAUCACAGUGAGACCAACUACCAGUUUGACCUCUCCUUUGACCCCCAGCACAGCAGUGAAUCCUACAUCAGGAGGUCAAAGCUCCACAGAAAGUGUUCUGGGUUUGACUGUUACUUCUACUUUGACCCCUGGCAUCACAGUGAGAACAACUAAGCCACUUGAUUUCCUGUGGCGUCACAUCCUCACUGUGUUGGUUCUACUGGCUACCUGUGGAGUAAUUAUACACUAUGUCAUCUCCCAUCAAUGCCCUAAAG